GGUCAUUUUGAAACCAUAAGAGUGAAUAAACUUUCAUUUGUUUCAUCAAUUUUUUGCCGUCCAAUCAUCCUACGUAAUGUUCGUUGUCACUGUCGAUGAUCAUCCUGUUCAACAUGACUGUUCGGCAAUGCUUAUGUGAGAGGAAG
ensembl:ncRNA F52B10.16 ncRNA